rnacentral:rRNA from 1 species
GACGAACGCUGGCGGCGUGCUUAACACAUGCAAGUCGAACGGAAAGGCCCUGCUUUUGUGGGGUGCUCGAGUGGCGAACGGGUGAGUAACACGUGGGUAACCUGCCCUUCACUUUGGGAUAACUUCAGGAAACUGGGGCUAAUACCGGAUAGGAGCUCCUGCUGCAUGGUGGGGGUGGGAAAGUUUCGGCGGUUGGGGAUGGACUCGGGGCAUCUCAGCGUGUUGGUGGGGUAGGGGUGUACCGAGGCUUAGACGGGUAGCCGGUCUGAGAGGGUGGCGGGACACAUGGGGUCAGGAAUGCGGCACGGACCCAUACGGGAGGGAGGAGAGGAGAAUAGUACAUUGCGGGCGGGAGGCAGACGCAGCACCGCCGUGGGGGGGGAGAGGGGAUGGGGGUUGGAAUCCGCUAUCGCUUGAGACGAGGCGUUAGUGACGGUAAUGGGUAAAGAAGCACCGGCUAACUACGUG